GACUGGAGACAGCAGUGGUGAAGAAGGCGGGGCCCCGAGGAGGCAGCGGCAUGGCCGCUCGCCUGUGCUAUGGUUUCUCCUCACGCGGCAGCAGCUGCUGGGGGCCGGGCGGGCCUGCCGGGCACCCUGGCGCCACUGGGAAACCAGCGGGCCCACGCCCCAGGCACCCUAGCGCUUGGUUAGGGUGGGGGGUUGUUUUUUGGUUUUGUUUUUUUGGGGGUGGGUUUUUUUUUUUUUUUUUUUUUUUUUCUUGCUGUGUGAAAGAAGAAACAGAAAGCACGACCCGACCCCUUCUCAAACUGGCUCACUCAGACACUUUGGGACAAACCCUGGACACCACGCUGGAGAGAGGCCUUAGUCUGGCCCCAGAGCUUAAAGCACCAGAGAAAAUCACAUGCUUCCUACUCAGCCUGAGCUGACCUUCUCGGCGUGCUCUGGCCCACACCUACCGCGGUACCCACACCGUCACCACUGCUCUCUUCCAAAAGAGAUACGUAUUCUUAGUUUCAUUAUUUUCUUUUGAUUGAAAUGACACUAUAUAAAAUUUUCAUUUGAGAGUUUCUCAGUUGUAUUUAGUUACAUAGCACAGUUUAGAAACUUGUCUGAGGCUGACCUUAUCAGUAAUCUAACCGGCAAAGAUCAUAUCCAUGUGUAUGUGGUUAUACAUUUUUAUUUCAUUGGACUAACCCAGGACCAUUCAGUGAUGCAAACUGUGUGCCCUCUGGUUUAGCUGAAACAGUCCUGCACUUCUCAGAAACCUUGAUGAAGUCUCCCAUAGUUGUAUAAAUUGGACAAUUUAGGAAUUUUAAACUUUAAACGAUCAUUUGGUUCCUUUUCUAUUUUAUUUUUGUUAAUGCAACAGUACUUAAACAAAUGAACUUCGAUCUUUGUUUUAAAGAUUAUUAAAAAAAACUAUGUGUGUGUGUCUAUAUAUAUAUAUAUAUAUAUAUCUAUAUCUAUAUAUAUAUAUAUGACUCUUGAAGACACAUAGCUUUCACUACACUACAGGAUAUGAUCUCCAUGUAGCACAUCUACAACUGCAGAUUGAUUUUCCUUGAGUGCUUUAUACUGUUGAUUACAUCUCCAUGUAGGGCUGAAAAGAAUGACCCAUGUUUAUCUCUAUAACUGUGUUGCUUUUGAUGUCGUGUUGCUGUGCACAGAAAUGUGUGCAGCGAGGUCCUGCAUAUGGUCCAGAUGAAAAGCACGGUAGCCUUGCGAGUUAAGUACUGCUUCGAUUCAUUGUUUACGCUGGAAUUUUUUCUCCCCAUGGAAUUAACUGAAGCAGUAAGGGAAGAUGUGAGGGCACGGAAGCAUGGCGUGGGGGGCACUGCUGCCAGUGAGGGGCGAGUGGGUGCCCGGGUGAAGGGAGGCACCACUCAUCUGAACCUGACAUUGUCACCCAAAGAAAUGACUGAGAGGAGGAGAGAGGCUUCCUGGUCACUUCCCUCAGGCGGGCUCGUGCUCGGAGGAGUAAAGUGCACAUGCAGUGGUGCCAUCCAUUGUAAAGCUGAACAACCUGGAGCUCGGUGGGCCCAGAGAGGAUCAGGUAACAUUUUCCCAAGGCCCCGAACGAGGAGCAGCCUGGUAGACGGUGGAUUGGGUGUGGAUAAGGCUUCCGUGCUGUGAAGAGCGCCUGUAAAUAGAUCACCUCACGAAGGGCCAAGAUGCUGUAACGUAGACUCAGGAGGAUUGACCCUUAACUGCUUGCCAAGGAGAUGGACCAUCUUUCCGACGCAAGGGACUCCCCUGGUGGUCCAGUGGUAAAGAAUCCGCCUUCCAAUGCUGGGGACUCAGGUUCGAUCCCUGGUGGGGGAACUAAGAUCUGACCUGCCCCGGGGCAACUAAGCCCGCGCGCCUCAACUAGAGAGCCAGCCUGCCGCAAACUGCAGAGCCUGCACACCACAACUAGAGAAGAGAAAACCUGCACGGCACAACGAAGAUCCUGCGUGCCACAACUAAGACCUGACGCAGCCAAAAGACAAAGAAAUUUUUUUAAAAAGAAUACAUUAUUCAGCUAAUCUAAACUUUGUUUAGGCAGGAAAGAAGAAAAUUAAUCAAAAUGCUUAAAGAAGGAUCUUAAUUCCCUGACCAGGGACUGAACCCAGGCCCCAGCAGUGAAAGCGCUGAAUCCUAACCACUGGACCACCAGGGAAUUCCCCUGAAUAUCUUCCCAAAGAAGACACAGAGAUGGCUACAGGCACACGAAAAGGUGCUCAACAUCACUAAUCAUCAGGGAAAUGCAAAUAAAAACCAAAAUGUGGUAUCACUUCACACCUGUUACAAUGGCUAGUCUCAGAAAGACAAGAAAACUCCAGUGCUCUGCUGGUGGGAACAUAUAUUGAUGCAGCCAGUAUGGAAAGAAGUAUGGAGGUCCCUCAAAAAAUUAAAAAUAGAGUUACCAUAUGGUCCAGCAAUUCCAACUUCUGGUUAUUUAUCCAAAGGAAACAAAAACACUAACUCAAAAAGAUAUCCACACCCCCAAGUUCAUAGGCAGCAUUAACAAUGGCCAAGAUUUGGAAACAAGUGUCCAUCAGUGGAUGAAUGGAUAAAGAAAGUGUGGAGUGCACACACACACACACAGAUGGAAUGUUAUUCAGCCAUAAAAAAAAGAAAAUCUUGCCAUUUGCGACAAUAUGUAUGGACCUUGAGGGCAUUAUACUAAGUGAAAUGGAGAAAGACAAACACCGUACAUCUCACAUGUGGAACCUUAAAAAACAAAACAGGAAAAAAAAAAAAAAAAAA